CUUCGGGUGAAGACUUAUAGGGAACGUGGCGAAAGGGUGAGUAAUAAAUGGAUAACCUACCCUCCAGAUCGGGAUAAUCCAUCGAAAGGUGGGGUAAUACCGGAUGGUCUGGCAGUCUUAUCAGUCUGUCAGUAAAGGUUGCUUCGGCAUCUGCUGGAGGAGGGGUCAUUUCCUAUUAGCUUGUUGGUAGGGUAAUGGCUUACCAAGGCAUAGAUGGGUAGGGGGCCUUAGCGGGUGAUCCCCCACACUGGGACUGAGACACUGCCCAGGUUCCUACGGGAGGCUGCAAUCGAGAAUCCUCCGCAAUGGGCGAAAGCCUGACGGGGUGACGCCGCGUGGACGAUGAAGGCCUAUCAGGUUGUAAAGUCCUAACAGGGAGUAUGAAAAUCGGCGGGUCCGAUAGGCCCGUUGAUUGACGUCAAUCCCAGAUGAAGUCACGGCUAAAUAUGUGCCAGCAGCCGCGGUAAGACAUAUGUGGCGAGCGUUGUUCGGAAUUACUGGGCUUAAAGCGCGCGUAGGCGGUUCAGUCAGUUAAUUUGUGAAAUCCCCCGGCUUAACCGGGGAAUCGCGGUUAAUACUGCUGAACUCGAGUACAAGAGGGGAGAGUGGAAUUCUGGGUGUAGCGGUGGAAUGCGAAGAUAUCCAGGAGAAGGCCGGUGGCGAAAGCGACUCUCUGGCUUGAUACUGACGCUGAGGUGCGAAAGCGUAGGUAGCGAACGGGAUUAGAUACCCCGGUAGUCUACGCUGUAAAUGAUGGGCACUGGAUGGUGGAGGCGCUGAUAGCUUUCUCCGUCGAAGCAAAUGCGUUAAGUGCCCCGCCUGGGGAGUACGGUCGCAAGAUUAAAACUCAAAGGAAUUGACGGGGGCCCACACAAGCGGUGGAGGAUGCGGCUUAAUUCGAGGACACGCGUAAAACCUUACCGAGGUUUGACAUGUAGGGAUUAAUCCGGUGAAAGCCGGAGGAUUGCCUUACGGUGCAACCUACACAGGUGCUGCAUGGCUGUCGACAGUUCGUGUCGUGAGAUGUUAGGUUAAGUCCUGAAACGAGCGAAACCCCUGUGCUUAAUUGCCAGCGCGUUAUGGCGGGGACAUUAGGCAGACUGCCUCGGCUAACGGGGAGGAAGGUGGGGACGACGUCAAGUCAGCAUGGCCCUUAUACCUCGGGCUGCACGCGUCCUACAAUGGGCAGUACAAACAGGACCGAUCCCGCGAGGGGGAGGAAAUCUCUAAAGCUGCUCUCAGUUCGGAUUGCAGGCUGAAACCCGCCUGCAUGAAGGUGGAAUCGCUAGUAAUCGCCGGUCAGCUAUACGGCGCUGAAUCCGUCCCUGGGCCUUGUACACACCGCCCGUCAAGCCACCCGAGUUGGGCGCACUCGAAGUCCGAGACUCAACCGUUUACGGAGAGAUCGGCCGAAGGUG
rnacentral:rRNA from 1 species